CGGCGCGGGCCGGAAGCGGAACGGGGCGGGGCCAGCGGCGCCCUCAGGGCUCCGGCCGAGGCCCGCAGGGGUCCGGCUGCGGCUCGGUGCAUAGAGCCGGCGGUAAAUGACUCACGGGCUCACCCCGGCACGCCUCGGAACGCAGAAAACAAGCUCAUUUAAAAAGAAAGGAUGGUAAUAUUCUUAAGAGAGUGUUACUCUGACUAAAAGAAGGUGUCCUUAAGAAGUAUAAUUAAAGCACUUGUUUCAAGUGUCUCUGACAAGCAUUGAGUGAAACAAAUCCUCUUGAGCAUGACCUGCAUCCACAAGGAUCGAGUGAGAAUUUCAACUGCAAGAUUUGUAAGGCUUCUGACAUUAUUCUAGCUAGUUCUACCCUUUUUGGAAUAAAAGUUCUUCAGUCUGCUUCAGCUCUAAAUCCUUUCCCAUUACCCUCCAACAGAACGUGGCCCUGCCACAUUACACAGAUCAAGAACAUUCAAGCAAAUCCAGAGUCUACUCACACCAGUUUUUAAUGACACUUUCUCCAGAAUCUCUUUGCCACUUCUGAAUUUACCCCGUUGCAGAAAUCAUCAGGAAAUGUCACAUCGAGAGGCCACUGGCCCCAACAUCUCUAUUUCAGCUGUGCACAGCAGUAAUGAGAUAGGUAAUGACUUAUUACUACAUAUAUAAAUAUAUAUCAACUAUGACCUCCAAAUCAGAGGUAAAUCAGUGACUCAGGAAAUUUUUUCUUGACAGGGGUCACCAAAUUCUACCAAAAUUACUCUUACUUUUAGAAGGAAGUGCCAUUGAAAUGUGAAUUCCCUCCAAAACUGUAUCUUAUCACAAAGUGAUUCAAGUUUUGAAAUAAUUUUUAUUUAAGCAUGACAUUCCAACUUUUCAGGUUUUUUAAUAUUAAAAUAUAUUACAUUAUAUUAUAAAUUUCAAAAAGGUUAAGUCUGACAAAACAUUAUCCAUAGCUUUGGGACCACUUUGCUUUUUGUAAACAUCCACCUCACCACUAAAUGAUGAGCUGCAAGGAGGCAGAGGGGAAUAAUAUUUUAAUACACUUCUUUCUCAAGCUGCGUAUCUUUAGAGACAGAACAACUGCUGUGCUGUAUACUCAUUCACAACUUACACCAGAGAAAUAAACCAUUUAUAAGCACAUACACAUUUCCAACAGAAACCAUACUACUGCAGCAUGAAACUGUAGAAUCCUUGGCCACCAGGAAACACAAUAACAAUCCCAUCAUUUAGUAAAUGUGGCAUAUACAGAGGAAUGGCUAGUCUGUACUGCACUAUACACACAGGAAGCCACAGGACAGAGAACUACAAUCCCUCCAUUAAAAAUACAAUUUUACUGAGACUAAUGCUUUUAUCAAUUAGGAAAAAAUGGAAAUGAGACAAUCAGAAUGCUUCCUGUUUAGCUUAGGACACGUGCAAACCCAGUAAAAAUCAGAUUUGCACGGUCAUACAGACCCCACUGUGAAAGUAUCCAAAGUAAACAAGGCUGCAAGAGCUCCAUGUACUGACUUGAACUUUACAAUAAUCUGUCAACAUCAAAACUGAAGCAGGAGAUAAGACAGCCCCAAAGAAAGUGCAUUUGUGUUCUGCUUUCAGAGCAAGAUGCAAACCUGAUGGCGUGGAUGCAAGGUAACUUGGCAUUGAUAUUAUCUCUGUUGUGUGAAUACAUCCUGCCUAUCAAUCUCCUUGAAACUCUGAUACAGAAACUACUGCAACAAAAGGACUUUGAUCUUGAGAUGAAAGUAUCUGAACUGCAGACUUGAGUAAACCUCCAGAAACAUGAGUUUUCCCUCACCUGACAUCCAUAUGCUCUCAGAGUCUAUGCAGGUAUCACUGGAGACAGUGGAUUAAUUGUUACUUGGUAAGUCUUGACCAGGGAAUAUCUCACAACUGCUAUUUCUCCGUGUCAUGUAAUAAUCUGGUUGAACAUAACUUCUUCUUUUAUAAGAUAACUGAGUAACAUUAAAUAUAGUUAAAAAGUGAUAUUUUUUAGCAUUAAGACAAAAUUGUGAGCACAAUAAACACCAAAAGCAAAGAUUUAAUAUACUUGCUACAACAUGAAAUUGCUCAACUCCUGAAUGAAUUUAUUUGCGUACACCUGCCCUUACAUGGAAAAUGCAACGUUUAUCAAAAGAUGUUACAAACUUUUACAAUGUAUCAACCAGUGCAUUACUGUUGUCCCAGCAAACCCAGACACAUUAGUUAUGUGUCCAAGAAGACCUCUUGCAGACACAGAUUUACCACCACUGCAGGGAGGGAAAACACCCCAACCUUUAAAACGCUUCUUAAAAGAUAAAUUAGUGCUGGUAUCAUGUGCCUAACAACUUUAGAAAUGCAUGUUUCAUCUACAAGAAUGACACAGGUUGCAUAAAACUUCUCAUAUUUCUGCCCAAGAAAUGGUAUUGUGGCUA